CCUACGGGAGGCAGCAGUGAGGAAUAUUGGGCAAUGGACGAGAGUCUGAACCAGCAAAGUAGCGUGAAGGAUGACUGCCCUAUGGGUUGUAAACUUCUUUUAUAUGGGAGUAAAAUGUUCCACGUGUGUGAUUUUGUAUGUACCCUGUGAAUAAGGAUCGGCUAACUCCGUGCCAGCAGCCGCGGUAAUACGGAGAAGCCGAGCGUUAUCCGGAUUUAGUGGGUUUAAGGGGAGCGUAGGUGGAUUGUUAAGUCAGUUGUGAAAGUUUGCGGCUCAACCGUAAAAUUGCAGUUGAAACUGGCAGGCUUGAGUACAGUAGAGGUGGGCGGAAUUCGUGGUGUAGCGGUGAAAUGCUUAGAUAUCACGAAGAACUCCGAUUGCGAAGGCAGUUCACUGGACUGCAACUGACACUGAGGCUCGAAAGUGUGGGUAUCAAACAGGAUUAGAUACCCGUGUAGUC
rnacentral:rRNA from 1 species